rnacentral:lncRNA from 1 species
CAGCGCCGGUCACCACCACAUUCUCCAUCUAGUCGUGGUCGACGCCGUCGCAGCGCCCAUCACCACGUCCUCUUGCCGCACAUGGCAGCCACCUCUUGACGUGGACGACGCCAUCACGACACCGAUCAUGAUGCCCUCAUUAUCUUGCGGCAUCGCACCGCAACCGCAUGUUCGCCACCGGUGCCACAACUCGCCGGUGACUCACCACCAUGUUGUCGACGAUGACACACCUUGUCGACGACUCGCACAUGGAACUCCUAACGGCAAUGGCCUCCGCUCCAUGGCCGUCACCUCCUUGCCGCCGGUGACACAACUUACCGGGCAUCAUACCUUUCUCCAUCACUCGUGACGCAGCUCGACGAUGAUGAAGACACACACCAGCCGCUAGCAGCAUCACGCCGCCAAC